GCCGCAGUCGCAUAGCCUGGUAUUGCGCGAGACUGGAAAUCUCGUCCCUCUGGGAUCCCCGGUUCGAAUCCGGGCUGCGGCG
rnacentral:tRNA from 1 species